rnacentral:rRNA from 1 species
AUUGAACGCUGGCGGCAUGCUUUACACAUGCAAGUCGAACGGCAGCGCGGGCUUCGGCCUGGCGGCGAGUGGCGAACGGGUGAGUAAUGCAUCGGAACGUGCCCAGUAGUGGGGGAUAGCCCGGCGAAAGCCGGAUUAAUACCGCAUACGACCUGAGGGUGAAAGCGGGGGACCGAAAGGCCUCGCGCUAUUGGAGCGGCCGAUGUCGGAUUAGCUAGUUGGUGGGGUAAAGGCUUACCAAGGCGACGAUCCGUAGCUGGUCUGAGAGGACGACCAGCCACACUGGGACUGAGACACGGCCCAGACUCCUACGGGAGGCAGCAGUGGGGAAUUUUGGACAAUGGGGCAACCCUGAUCCAGCCAUGCCGCGUGCGGGAAGAAGGCCUUCGGGUUGUAAACCGCUUUUGUUCGGGAAGAAAUCCUCUGGGCUAAUACCCCGGGGGGAUGACGGUACCGGAAGAAUAAGCACCGGCUAACUACGUG